GCUGUGUGUCUCACCUCUUCAUUGGAGCAACCUGGCUUUGGACCCACAGUGCCUAAGGGCUCACAAGACGCCACACAACUCCUCUGUGUCAGUGGGAAAUGAGACUGAGGCUCUGAGCUCUCAAAAGGCUGCAGGGAGCCAGACGGAGAGCCAGAAGGCCAGUUACAACCUGCUUUGGGCACCAGCUCACCCUUUGCUCCCCAGGGCCCUGCGUCAAAGUACUUGUAAUGUGAGUAACUCCCGAGAGAAUAGAGCACUGUUACCUGCGCCACCAGAGGCAUGGAGCAUCUUCAAGUGAUCCACGGUCAUCUGCAAAACCUCAGCUUUCUCCAGCUUAGAGGAGCCCUGCGGGGAGAGAAGGCAGAGGGUGCAGCCCGAAGUUGAUAGCUGUUUCUCACUGCCCUCCUGUUCCAACCAGCAUUCACCACCUCCCAUUUCCUCCCAUUCCCUGGUUACCAGAGCUACUAUUUGGUCCAAGCUCUUCAGAUCUGAAAGAUGGCCGCCAGUUCACGCCACAGUCCACCUGUCUGCAGCACUGCUGAGCUGCAUAGUAAACUGCCCCCACCCCCAGCCACCAUUUGAUGGCCUCGAUGGAGACCUCUUCUUCUGUAGCCUCCUUUUGUCUUGCCUCUUGGGGGUCUCUGUCUCUUAAAAAAAUGCCCCCAGUGAUUGUCAGCCCCAUACACUGUCUGCUCUUCCCACAGACACUCGUCUACCUCCGUGGCUUCGUCUACCAUCACCAGACUCCACUUGCCCUGUAGACCUGCUAUCCUGGGAACCCAGGAAUCUCCAAGUCCUAGCACAAAUCGCUGAGCCAGAGUCCUUGCCCUUCCUCUGUUCUCUCUCGGGAAAUGCUUUGUAAACCUCCAGGGAACCUUGGUUCCCGUAGGAAGGGUUCGAAUCUCCAUACCAGUCCUUUAAAUAUAGACACCAAGUCUAAUCCAUGGCUGGCUCUGAGGAGGUUUUAAUGAGCAGCUGUUAACUUGCAUUUACUGGCCUAAGGGAAGACAGAUGAUGUGUGACCUGGGCCUUGAGCACAUCGAAGGAAUCUUUGAAGCAGUCCACUUCCAAUUCAACCGUUUGUCUCUCCUCUGUAGUCCCUGUCCCCUACCAUGCUCGAUGACAGGUGCUCAGUUUCUGGGUGGCCUGUUUCACUUUCAGAGAGUUCUGGAAACAUCAGAGCCACAUGCUCUGUUUCUGCUCAGACAUUUAUGUAAUCUGGGUAACAGAGUAGCUAGAAUCACGUGACACCUCCGUCCUUUGCUUUUCUCACCUGUGCAAUGGGCAGAAUAAUCUCUACUUCUCAGGAUCACUUUUAGGAUUUAAUCCAAAGGAAUACAAGUCAGGUAUAAAGCCUGAGACACCUUGCUAAACACAAUUGUCCAUUCCCCUUGUCCCCUGGCCAGUGAUAAUGAGACAUACUUGUGUAUGUGUGUGUAUGUGUGUGACAUACACACACCUUGUAUAUAUGCAUGGGGGGGUGCAUAUGUGUAUACAUGUGGAGGUCAGGAGAUACAUAGAGUAUCAGUCUCUAUUGCUUCCGACCUUAUUUUUCAUUACAUUUUUAUUGUUUCUAUGUAGUCUUUGUAUCUGAGUGAAUGUACAUCCACGUGUGUUCAGGUACCUGCAAAGGCUAGAAGAUCUCCUGGAGUUGGGGUCAGGGGUCAUAUGGAGUAAUGGAUGGCAAUUUAGUCCUCUGGAGAGCAUCGUGUGCUUUUGACUGCUUGAUCAUCUCUCCAGCCCUACAUCUAAAAAACUGUGCGUGUACGUGUGCGUGUACAUGCCCGUGCACAUGCACACUCCUGUAUGUCAGACGACAGCUUACUGGCGUCACUUCUCUCCUUCCGGAUUGUGAGACCCAGACUGGACUCAAGCCAUCACUGUUCCGGCUCCUGGCACCUGCCUGUCUCUCCUCCCAGUGCUGGUGCUCCAGCUGCACACAGCCAUGUGGCUGCCGUGGAUUUGAACUCAGACCAUACGUACCCUCUGUGCCGUCUUCCUACAGGCAGUAGGAGACGCCGUGAGAACCAGACACUGCCUUCUACACACUUGGUAGUGCCUCAUACCUGUUUCUCAAAGGCAGUGGGGACCAAUCGUCGCAGUUCAGACAGGCUGCUGUUGAUGCGGUCUCGGCGCCGUUUCUCUAUGAUCUGAAAAGUAGUGUGGAGAUGUUCCCUGUAGGCAUUUCCUCCCACUUCCCAGUGUGCCCUGGCAGACACUGAGUCCUAUUUCCCCUAGGAUAUUUUUUCCUAGGGAGUAAAUCUAUUCUUUAUUUAUGGAGGACAAGAACGAGACAAUAAUUUGCUUAGCGUCACACAGUAUAAAGUUAGAGUUGGGAUUGGCA